GACGAACGCUGGCGGCGUGCUUAACACAUGCAAGUCGAACGGUAAGGCCCUUCGGGGUACACGAGUGGCGAACGGGUGAGUAACACGUGGGUGAUCUGCCCUGCACUUCGGGAUAAGCCUGGGAAACUGGGUCUAAUACCGGAUAGGACCACUGCCUGCAUGGGUGGUGGUGGAAAGCUUUUGCGGUGUGGGAUGGGCCCGCGGCCUAUCAGCUUGUUGGUGGGGGGAUGGCCUACCAAGGCGACGACGGGUAGCCGGCCUGAGAGGGUGACCGGCCACCCUGGGACUGAGAUACGGCCCAGACGCCUACGGGAGGCAGCAGUGGGGAAUAUUGCACAAUGGGCGCAAGCCUGAUGCAGCGACGCCGCGUGAGGGAUGACGGCCUUCGGGUUGUAAACCUCUUUCAGCACCGACGAAGCGCAAGUGACGGUAGGUGCAGAAGAAGGACCGGCCAACUACGUGCCAGCAGCCGCCGUAA
rnacentral:rRNA from 1 species